CCUACGGGAGGCAGCAGUGGGGAAUAUUGCGCAAUGGGCGCAAGCCUGACGCAGCGACGCCGCGUGCGGGAUGAAGGUCUUCGGAUCUUAAACCUCUGUCAGCAGGGAAGUACGGUCACUGUGCUAAUCAGCAUUGAAUUUACGGUACCUGCAAAGGACGCACCGGCUAAUUCCGUGCCAGCAGCUGCUGUAAGACGGAGGAUGCGAGCGUUAAUCGGAAUUAUUGGGCGUAAAGGGCUCGUAGGCGGUAUGUCAAGUCAAGGGUGAAAUCCCCGGGCUCAACGGGGGAACUGCCUGUGAAACUGGCAAACUGGAGAGUGUGAGAGGAUAGUGGAAUUCAAGGUGUAGGAGUGAAAUCCGUAGAGAUCUGGAGGAACAUCAGUGGCGAAGGCGACUAUCUGACACAUAACUGACGCUGAGGAGCGAAAGCGUGGGUAGCAAACAGGAUUAGAUACCCUUGUAGUC
rnacentral:rRNA from 1 species